rnacentral:lncRNA from 1 species
CUAUGUGAUUGAACCCUAGAAUCCUUAGAAUCUGCUUUGAAGGGCCAUUCCUGUGCUAAAUGUCUUAGAUUCAGUUCCCUAGAAAGAGAGACCGAGACAAAGAUUGGAGAGCACAGAUUCAUCAAGUGUUUUCUCUCAGGAGAAAAUAUUUACAUAAAGAAAGAGGGAUGACACAGUGGAGAGCUAUGCAAGGAUGUGGUCUCAGGUGUAGUCUAAACUGCAUAAAUUGCAACACAAAGUUAAUCCCACCUUGAGGCAAAGGAACUAGGAAUUUGUUUAGUCAGACCCUGGCUCUGGGCUUCCCAAGGGUGGGCAAAACCUCUCAUGUGGGACAGCUUCUGUUUUGCCAAAGGCAGUUUUCCAAAGAAUGAGGAAAUUUAUAAGCCAUUAGCAAUCAAUUCUCACAAUAGUUGGGGAAUGGACACUCUGGCUCAGAAAAGUGAACCAUUAACUCUACUAUAGGAAUUGAGUUAUGGCAAAAGUGAACAGGUAAAAUUUGAAACUGAUACAUAAUUUUAUAAUUUGAAUUUAUUUGGUAAUUGAUAUUUCAUUUAUCAAAAAUGAUAAAAGGAUCUUUAUUGGGUAUAUUUUAUUAUCUUUUAAGAAUUGACUAGUAAAACAAAGAUACUUCAAGUUGGUAUUACAUAAGUUUCCCUUAUUUUUGUAAUUUAUUCCCUUAUUUUUAAAUUUAUUCUUGGAUUAUUAUUAACAAUAGAAUAAUUAAUUCUAGUAAGUAGCUAAAUCACUGGUGAUAACAACACUUGAAAUCAUCUAUCUUGGAUAGAAAAUCAGAUACUCUAUAUAAUAAAAAAAUUGAUGUGGUUUCAAGGGAAGAAUACUCUUGAUUAUAAUGUCAUAUUUGUAUAACUUUUGUUAAUGACUUUAUUUGAGAAUGAUAUUCUCUUACGCUUGAGUUUUAUGUUAAGACAAACCACCUACGAAACUAUAUAGAUGAGAUUACAUAUAAAUUCUUUGGAAAAUUUUCUGGAAUAGCUAAUAAAAAAGCAGUGUAGAGGGUGGGCUUUUAUAAACUCAUCAGUCAAGCUGAACUGUCCAUAGGCAGGAGUCCCUACUAAUAGUUUCUGUCAGUAUCCUGAUGGAUUUCACUGGAUUUUAUUUGUCAUGAGAGACUGACAAAAUGCUCUAUUAUGAAUGAAAGUCCUCUUUACCAGAUCUUAUCAGUCAGGCACUCAUUAGCAAAAUCAUACCACUCAUUAUUUCAUUUGGAGGCUGUUUGCUGAUUUGUGUUCCCAAAAGAGGAAGGGGGACUUCUAACAAUAAAAGAAAGCCUAUGACAUGGUGAUAAAAAUGUAUGUUUUUAUAACUGUGCAGUUUUUGAACUACUGUCACAUUUUGCUUCUCAUUUGAUUUUUGCAAGUUCUCUAUGAAGUAGGCAGGGCAUACCAUGUCUGGAUUUUUGAUUUAUUUGUUUUUUUUUCUUUACUUUUUUUUGUAAAAAAUAAACAAACAAAAACAGACAUUCAAACAUAUCCAAGGUAAUAUAGAAAGGAAGUAUUAGAGCCAAACCCAGACUUAUGGCUCAUUUCCUGAUAUCUCCAAAGCCUUUUAAAAUUUAUAAUGUUAUAGUUUUUUCUCUCAAGAUAUAAUGAAGCAUUUUAUAAAUAUAUGCUUGUAAAAAAUGCAUAACAUUAUUUUUACCUUAUGAAUAAAAUACAUCAGUCACACAAUCCCAGAGAUUUAAUAACACAAAGUUUAGUAGGCCCUCUUUGAUACUUUCCUGUGUUUGAAUAAUGACAAUUUUACAAACCACUGCUUUUUCAGUUGUUUAGCUAUGGAACUUACACUUGGCUGAGAAUUUAAGCAGUGGGAUGAUAUACUUAGCAAAGUGCCCCACAUUCAGGAAGGAAGCUAAAAGAGUGUGGCCAUACAAUUCAAAAAUACUUUCCCAAUAGGAAAUAGUUUAACAACUUUGCUGUUAAAUUUAUUGCUGCAGGGCUGUUAUGUCAGCUGCUUAACUUAAAGAUCACCCAAAUGCUUUUCCCCUCCCUUCUAACCAAGAGGCAACGGGUGCAAAGAUCAAGUUCCUUUCCUGAUGUGGAAACAUGGCAUUCAGCAGAGUAGGCAGGGACUCAAAUCAAACAAUGGUUGUCAAGAGCAUCAACCCUACAGAAUAGCUGCCAACCUCCUGCACUCCUCAGAUUCCAACCUCUUAACCUCCAGCUUACUCCAUCUUCCUGUUCAAUUUGAUCUUUAGAAAUGAUUCCAGCAAUGGAGAAUAAACAACAAGGGUUCAAGAAAAUAAAGAAAAUAAGAUGGUCAGAUACAUUUACUGCCCAUUUAGAAAUCUGUGUGCUCCUACAAGUGCUAUAUUCAGCAGUGUACCUCAGGGCAGAAAGGGGAAAUCUGAAGGGGUUAAUACCAGCUACAUUAUGAGGCAGCUGGUUUAUAUCUGAGGCUUUGUGCUCAUGCCAGUCUCAAGCCCAGGUAAUUUAUAAUAGCCUAAAGUUCCAAUAUAAAAAGCACAUAGCUGCAGGGAGACAUGUCAGCUUCCCUUACAUAGCCUGUCAUUUCCUUGGAAACAUAAUAAUUAAGAUGUCUGGUAUAACUGCUUCUGCCAGAAAUAUUUUUAGAUUUCAGCCCAUUUCAAGAAACUCUAAAUUCAAGGAGAGAAUUAUUAAAUACUGCAUGACAAACUAAGGAAAGUACUCUUACAGGCUUGUUCUGUCAAAAGGAACAGAUACUUCAUCUAAAUCUCUUGACAGUAAGUAGAGAAAUACCUAGACUUGAAUUAAAAAAAAGGAUUGGCAUCAGUUUGAUUAGAGCACAAGCAGAUGAGAUGGGGGAGAAAUAUGCAUUCCUCAUCAAAAGCAGUUUUUUCAGUUUAAAAGACUGACACCAUUUUAAACGUAGAAUGGCAUUGUUUCUCCAUCCUCAAUGCAAUUGCCUUUUAUGAUUUCCUAUGUUAUUCAUAAACAACUACUUAUUGUAGCAUGGAGGAACUACUGAAGAUGCUAUUCAAUAUCAACUUGUGUGAAACUAUCGGAGGUGGUAACUCAUGGCGUUGUAUGGUGAAUUAAUUUCCUGGAGGUAUGAUUAAACUAUGUAUUUUGCAUUAAAAUAAUUCACCUUGUAAUAUAUUUAACUUAUAGAGGAAUAUGGUUAGAUAAAGAAAAUUUAAAUUCAAUGGGUUAAAAUAAUUAAAAAGAGAAUGAAAAUUCCCUUUUUAACAGUGAAGGCUAUUUUUCAGAUCUCUUUCAGCUUCUUUAAUAAAAUCUCUUAGUAUGAACUGAGACAAGGCCAUAAAUUCAAUUCAGUUACAAUAAAAGAGUCAAUAGAUAUAUGAUGAUAGCAAAGAUAACAUUACAAUUUUAUAAUGAAUAUUAGGAGAAAAAGUAAUUAAAGAAUCAUUUAGAUUCAGCUAACAUUGUUGAAACCCUAGUAUGUUCCAGAUAAUGUGCUAGGUUACCACGCCCACAAACGUUAUCACAUUUAAUCUUCACAACACUCUACAAAAGGGUACAUUGCCCCAUUUUAUAUGAGGGGACUGAAUCUCAACAUCAUAGUUAUUAAAAGGAAAAUUUAUAAUUUUUCUGUCUCUUUUCUGUUUGAAUCACAUUUCUUUAAAAAAAAUUAUUACCUAUUUGUUUUCAUUGAAGACCACUAAAAAUAGCAUGGAAAAUUAUAAUUCUCUAUAUCUACCAUGACUCCUUGCACAAAAAUGUCCUUGAGAAUGAGAAUAAUUUGUUUUGAGGAGCUAUUUAAGCUGCAGUAGUACUAGGCUAAAUAGACCCCUAUUCAAAAUGUGACUUAAAGGCUUAUAUAGACUCUGCUGACAAAAAUCAAAGAAGUAGAACCUUAAUGAUAAUGUUCAUUCUCCCUCUCUUGCUCUAUUUUUCCUCCAUUGCUCUGAUCUUCUAACUCUACUUCUAUCUUUAUUUCUGUAACUGCUUCUUUUAUUUACCUCCACAUAUAUACAUAUCCACACUCCUAUCAUGCCUCUGUAUUUGCUGUCUCCCCACCCCACCCCCAUCUCAAUAAGAAGCACCUUGAGACCAGAGAAUUUCUCUGUUUGGUUCACUGGUAUUCUGCUUAAUCUGAAUCUUAGUAAUCUCAGUAAAUAUUUGCUAGAUGAAGAAAUUAUGUACUUUUUGACUGUCUUCUUGAUUUCAGACUUCUAGUUCCAGAGAGAACAGAAUUCUGUGUUUUAGGCCAAUCGGCUUUUGACACUUUUUUAGGGGUAACCCUAGAAAGAUAAUGUAACAGAGAACUUUUUGUAUUUGACCAACUUUGGCUACCAAAAGAAUUUGUUGGGAGUUCACUCUUUCCAAAGAAUUAAGCAAGGCAUAUGGGAUGCAGAGGUGAGUAGGAUUAAGCAGUACCUGAGGAAUUUAUGGUUUUCUGGAGAAGACAGAAAAAGCACAUAGAGGAGUCCCAUCACACCUCAGUGGAAACAAAUCUGACUAGAGGAUGUGGAUUCAGUUGCUGCCUUCACUUAGUGGGUCACGGAUCCAGCAUUGCCAUGAACUGUUAGUUUAGUUUGCAGACACAGCUCUGAUUCCGUAUUGCUAUGGCUGCAGUGUAGGCUGGCAGCUGUAGCUUUGAUUCUACCCCUAGUCUGGGAACUU